rnacentral:lncRNA from 1 species
AUAUUAUCAAGAUUUUCCUAUCAAAGUUGCCCAAACUUCCUCUUGAAUGUUCUCGUAUGCUACAUUUAAAUCUAGAUGAUCAUAGGCGGUGUAAUGGGGCGUGGAUAACUAUGGUGAUCUAUUGACGACAUAGUUAUCUCGGAUUGAACUAUUUCCUCUUGUGAAAUUACUGAUUUAAAUAAGUGGAGUUUUAUCUCUCAUAAAGGUUCAUUAAAU